rnacentral:rRNA from 1 species
AUUGAACGCUGGCGGCAUGCCUUACACAUGCAAGUCGAACGGCAGCACGGGAGCAAUCCUGGUGGCGAGUGGCGAACGGGUGAGUAAAGUAUCGGAACGUGCCCAGUCGUGGGGGAUAACGUAGCGAAAGUUACGCUAAUACCGCAUACGAUCUAUGGAUGAAAGCGGGGGAUCGCAAGACCUCGCGCGAUUGGAGCGGCCGAGAUCAGAUUAGGAAGUUGGUGGGGUAAAGGCUCACCAAGCCGACGAUCUGUAGCUGGUCUGAGAGGACGACCAGCCAGACUGGGACUGAGACACGGCCCAGACUCCUACGGGAGGCAGCAGUGGGGAAGUUUGGACAAUGGGCGAAAGCCUGAUCCAGCCAUGCCGCGUGCAGGAUGAAGGCCUUCGGGUUGUAAACUGCUUUUGUACGGAACGAAAAGGUUUGGCCUAAUAAGCUGAGCUCAUGACGGUACCGUAAGAAUAAGCACCGGCUAACUACGUGCCAGCCGCCGCUGUAA